ACGCUAGCGACAGGCUUAACACAUGCAAGUCGAGGGGCAGCACAGGUAGCAAUACCGGGUGGCGACCGGCGCACGGGUGAGUAACGCGUAUGCAACUUACCUAUCAGAGGGGGAUAACCCGGCGAAAGUCGGACUAAUACCGCAUGAAGCAGGGGCCCCGCAUGGGGAUAUUUGCUAAAGAUUCAUCGCUGAUAGAUAGGCAUGCGUUCCAUUAGGCAGUUGGCGGGGUAACGGCCCACCAAACCGACGAUGGAUAGGGGUUCUGAGAGGAAGGUCCCCCACAUUGGUACUGAGACACGGACCAAACUCCUACGGGAGGCAGCAGUGAGGAAUAUUGGUCAAUGGGCGUAAGCCUGAACCAGCCAAGUCGCGUGAGGGAUGAAGGUUCUAUGGAUCGUAAACCUCUUUUAUAAGGGAAUAAAGUGUGGGACGUGUCCCGUUUUGUAUGUACCUUAUGAAUAAGGAUCGGCUAACUCCGUGCCAGCAGCCGCGGUAAUACGGAGGAUCCGAGCGUUAUCCGGAUUUAUUGGGUUUAAAGGGUGCGUAGGCGGCCUUUUAAGUCAGUGGUGAAAGUCUGUGGCUCAACCAUAGAAUUGCCGUUGAAACUGGGGGGAUUGAGUAUGUUUGAGGCAGGCGGAAUGCGUGGUGUAGCGUUGAAAUGCUUAGAUAUCACGCAGAACCCCGAUUGCGAACGCAGCCUGCCAAGCCAUGACUGACGCUGAUGCACGAAAAGCGUGGGGAUCAAAACAGGAUUAGAUACCCUGGUAGUCCACGCAGUAAACGAUGAUCACUAGCUGUUUGCGAUACAGUGUAAGCGGCACAGCGAAAGCGUUAAGUGAUCCACCUGGGGAGUACGCCGGCAACGGUGAAACUCAAAGGAAUUGACGGGGGCCCGCACAAGCGGAGGAACAUGUGGUUUAAUUCGAUGAUACGCGAGGAACCUUACCCGGGUUUGAACGCAUUCGGACCGAGGUGGAAACACCUUUUCUAGCAAUAGCCGUUUGCGAGGUGCUGCAUGGUUGUCGUCAGCUCGUGCCGUGAGGUGUCGGCUUAAGUGCCAUAACGAGCGCAACCCUUGCCACUAGUUACUAACAGGUAAAGCUGAGGACUCUGGUGGGACUGCCAGCGUAAGCUGCGAGGAAGGCGGGGAUGACGUCAAAUCAGCACGGCCCUUACAUCCGGGGCGACACACGUGUUACAAUGGCGUGGACAAAGGGAAGCCACCUGGCGACAGGGAGCGAAUCCCCAAACCACGUCUCAGUUCGGAUCGGAGUCUGCAACCCGACUCCGUGAAGCUGGAUUCGCUAGUAAUCGCGCAUCAGCCAUGGCGCGGUGAAUACGUUCCCGGGCCUUGUACACACCGCCCGUCAAGCCAUGGGAGCCGGGGGUACCUGAAGUCCGUAACCGCGAGGAUCGGCCUAGGGUAAAACUGGAGACUG
rnacentral:rRNA from 1 species